rnacentral:rRNA from 1 species
GACGAACGCUGGCGGCGUGCUUAACACAUGCAAGUCGAACGGAAAGGCCCUGCUUUUGUGGGGUGCUCGAGUGGCGAACGGGUGAUUAACACGUGAGUAACCUGCCCUUGACUUUGGGAUAACUUCAGGAAACUGGGGCUAAUACCGGAUAGGCGCUCCUGCUGCAUGGUUGGGGUUGGAAAGUUUCGGCGGUUGGGGAUGGACUCGCGGCUUAUCAGCUUGUUGGUGGGGUAGUGGAUUAACAAGGCUUUGACGGGUAGCCGGCCUGAGAGGGUGACCGGCAACAUGGGGACUGAGAUACGGCACAGAGUCCUAAGGGAGGAAGCAGUAGGGAAGAUUGCACAAUGGGCGGAAGCCUGAUGCAGCAACGCCGCGUGAGGGAUGACGGACUUCGGGUGGUAAACCGCUUUCGCCUGUGACGAAGCGUGAGUGACGGUAAUGGGUAAAGAAGCACCGGCUAACUACGUG